rnacentral:rRNA from 1 species
CGAAGGGGGCUAGCGUUGCUCGGAAUUACUGGGCGUAAAGGGCGCGUAGGCGGACAGUUUAGUCAGAGGUGAAAGCCCAGGGCUCAACCUUGGAAUUGCCUUUGAUACUGGCUGUCUUGAGUACGGGAGAGGUGUGUGGAACUCCGAGUGUAGAGGUGAAAUUCGUAGAUAUUCGGAAGAACACCAGUGGCGAAGGCGACACACUGGCCCGUUACUGACGCUGAGGCGCGAAAGCGUGGGGAGCAAACAGGAUUAGAUACCCUGGUAGUCCACGCCGUAAACGAUGAGUGCUAGUUGUCGGCAUGCAUGCAUGUCGGUGACGCAGCUAACGCAUUAAGCACUCCGCCUGGGGAGUACGGUCGCAAGAUUAA